rnacentral:rRNA from 1 species
UGAGUACGAGAUGCUACGGCAUCGAAGCAGUCUAUGUCAUACUUCCAAGAAAAGCUUGCACUGUCAGAAACAGAUAAUGCCUGUACCAUAACCGACACAGGUGGGUAGGUAGAGUAUACUAAGGGGCGCGAGAUAACUCUCUCUAAGGAACUCGGCAAAAUGACUCCGUAACUUCGGGAGAAGGAGUGCCUUAUUUUUAAGGUUGCAAUAACAAGAUCCAAGCAACUGUUUACCAAAAACACAGGUCUCCGCUAAGUCGUAAGGCGAUGUAUGGGGGCUGACGCCUGCCCAGUGCCAGAAGGUUAAAGAAGUCGGUUAGCAUUCGCGAAGCUGGUAACUGAAGCCCUGGUGAACGGCGGCCGUAACAAUAACGGUCCUAAGGUAGCGAAAUUCCUUGUCGGGUAAGUUCCGACCCGCACGAAAGGCGUAAUGAUUUGGAUACUGUCUCGGAGAGGGGCUCGGUGAAAUAGACUUGUCUGUGAAGAUGCGGACUACCUGCACCUGGACAGAAAGACCCUAUGAAGCUUUACUGUAACUUGAAAUUGAAAUUGGACUUUAUUUGCGCAGUAUAGGUGGGAGGCGUUGAAAAUAUUCUUGCGGGAAUAUUGGAGCCAUCAGUGAGAUACCACUCUUGUAAUGUUAGAUUUCUAACUUUAUAUCAUUAUCUGGUUAAAGAACAGUUUCAGGCGGGCAGUUUGACUGGGGCGGUCGCCUCCCAAAUGGUAACGGAGGCGCACAAAGGUUUCCUCUGAACGGGUAGAAAUCGUAUCUAGAGUGUAAAGGCAUAAGGAAGCUUGACUGUGAGACCUACAAGUCGAGCAGGGACGAAAGUCGGUCUUAGUGAUCUGACGGUGCUGAGUGGAAAGGCCGUCACUCAACGGAUAAAAGUUACUCUAAGGAUAACAGGCUGAUCUCCCCCAAGAGUUCACAUCGACGGGGAGGUUUGGCACCUCGAUGUCGGCUCAUCGCAUCCUGGGGCGGUAGUACGUCCCAAGGGUUGGGCUGUUCGCCCAUGAAAGCGGUACGCGAGCUGGGUUCAGAACGUCGUGAGACAGUUCGGUCCAUAUCCGGUGUAGGCGUUAGAAUAUUGAGAGGAGCCUUCUUUAGUACGAGAGGACCGAGAAGGACAUACCUCUGGUGUACCAGUUAUCGUGCCAACGGUAAACGCUGGGUAGCUAUGUAUGGAGUGGAUAACCGCUGAAAGCAUCUAAGUGGGAAGCCCACCUCAAGAUAAGUAUUCUCA